UGUGCGAUUAAACUCGACUCGCAGAAUUUUUAGAUAAUAAAAGUCAAACAGCAAAGUCAGCGUAGGAAACAUUUUCAUAAUUUAUUCAACCCAUACAUCUGAAUUAGUCUUACUCAGUGUUGAUUGUAAUGAGAAUUACUGUCUCUAACACGAAUCUCCCGAGAACGGGGUAUGUCAUUUUCCAUGCGGAAGAUAUUAUUAGUCUAAUUUGUAGGAUUUUUGCCCGCUUCUAUAAGCAGUAGACUUCUUUGAAUAAGUAAUGAAGAUCUGUCUAGAAAAUUGGUUUCCCCGCCAUGAUCAGUAUUGAAUUAUUGCAUGUUAUUUGUUCAUUUGGCAGAAAAUGCUUCUUUGUUUGGCAAGAAAGUGAAACAAACAUUCCAUCGCGAUUCCAAUUAAAAUGUCGUACGUGAUGGAUUUAUGGGACUGGAUGUACAGAGAAAUCAGGCGUUAUAUAACCACAAAAUAUAACUAAUAAUGGAGACUGUUCUUAGAACGGCCUGUUCGGCGUUAAAACUAUUGACUUUUAAAAACAGCUAUGCGUCUCUAAACUAUUCACUUAAUGUGUUGUAGAUAACCUAAUAAUCCGACGUGACUAAAGUUAUUUAGUUGAUGAAAAUUAUACAUGCAUGCAUGGAAGAAUUUAUUGAAGCA
rnacentral:lncRNA from 1 species